CUUAAAUACGCGAUGGGGUAUUGUAAGUGGCAAAGUGGCCUUGCUGCCACGAUCCACUGAGAUUCAGCCCCAUGUCGCUCCGAUUCGUAUCAUUUGCAGA